GGAAAGCAGGAUCAUAUGGCUAAACAUUGUGUAAAGGUGCCAUGUGUGCCCAAUUGCGAAGCAGCGAGCUGGACAUAGAUGUUGCUAUUUUAAGCGAGCAGUGUAAAAACAGGUAAUUUUAAUGCGAGGGCAGCAUUGUGGUAAAAGAAAAAAACUCGAAGGGCAAGAAGUUUCUGAAUGCGCUAGCAGUGUUUGACUUAGUUCUACUUAACAGUGGCACAGAAAACACAUUCAGCAAAAUUGUACUGGUUCCAUCAUAGACCUCUCAUUUAUAAAUAGGGUACUGAAAACGAGAGAUGGCACAUGACGAUACAAGAACUGCCCAAGCCAGAAAUAUAAAUAGCGACCCUCGUAUUCCCAACAUCAAUAUACCAGCAGAUUAUAAUGAAGUUACGUUUCCUCACGGCAAUUGGAUUUCCCGGCAUCUUAGAAGUUAUGCAGACUGCGUUCAAGUCGAAUUGAGUAUAUAAGGUGGCGCCAUUAAAAAACAGUUUCUUUAUAUUUCGCGAUUUUGACAAGUUGACGUCAGCUCUUUUCGCAAUACAAAACAAACGCACGAAACAAACAAAAGCAGGAGAUAUUACAUGUUUGUGAAAAUUCAAUGAAUGGCUUGGUAAUAUUGUGAUUUGUGAGAUUUAAACCUAUCAAACUAAUGAAAACGAAGUGCCGUGUGUUACAUUGUGAAAGCACAUGUGAUAUAAAGCCUCCAAAUUCAGUUUGCUUGCGUGUUUAUGCGGAA